UACGAGGGGUGCAAGCGUUGCUCGGAAUUAUUGGGCGUAAAGGGUAGGUAGGUGGUCUCAUUUGUCUGGGGUGAAAGCCCAGGGCUUAACCCUGGAAGUGCCCCAGAAACGGUGAGACUCGAGUCCUGGAGAGGGUCGUGGAAUUCCCGGUGUAGCGGUGAAAUGCGCAGAUAUCGGGAAGAACACCCGUGGCGAAGGCGGCUCUCUGGGACGGUACUGACGCCGAGGGACGAAAGCUAGGGGAGCGAAUGGG
rnacentral:rRNA from 1 species